rnacentral:rRNA from 1 species
CCUACGGGAGGCAGCAGUGGGGAAUAUUGGACAAUGGGGGGAACCCUGAUCCAGCCAUGCCGCGUGUGUGAAGAAGGCCCUCGGGUUGUAAAGCACUUUCAGUGAGGAAGAACGCCUGGUGGUUAAUACCCAUCAGGAAAGACAUCACUCACAGAAGAAGCACCGGCUAACUCCGUGCCAGCAGCCGCGGUAAUACGGAGGGUGAGAGCGUUAAUCGGAAUUACUGGGCGUAAAGCGCGCGUAGGUGGCUUGAUAAGCCGGUUGUGAAAGCCCCGGGCUCAACCUGGGAACGGCAUCCGGAACUGUCAAGCUAGAGUGCAGGAGAGGAAGGUAGAAUUCCCGGUGUAGCGGUGAAAUGCGUAGAGAUCGGGAGGAAUACCAGUGGCGAAGGCGGCCUUCUGGACUGACACUGACACUGAGGUGCGAAAGCGUGGGUAGCAAACAGGAUUAGAUACCCGUGUAGUC